rnacentral:rRNA from 1 species
CCUACGGGAGGCAGCAGUGAGGAAUAUUGGUCAAUGGGCGAGAGCCUGAACCAGCCAAGUCGCGUGAAGGAUGACGGCCCUACGGGUUGUAAACUUCUUUUGUCAGGGAGCAAUUGGGUCCACGCGUGGGCUUAGCGAGAGUACCUGAAGAAAAAGCAUCGGCUAACUCCGUGCCAGCAGCCGCGGUAAUACGGAGGAUGCGAGCGUUAUCCGGAUUUAUUGGGUUUAAAGGGUGCGUAGGCGGAAUAUCAAGUCAGCGGUAAAAAUUCGGGGCUCAACCCCGGCCUGCCGUCGGAACUGGGUGCCUUGAGUGGGCGAGAAGUAUGCGGAAUGCGUGGUGUAGCGGUGAAAUGCAGAGAUAUCACGCAGAACCCCGAUUGCGAAGGCAGCAUACCGGCGCCCUACUGACGCUGAGGCACGAAAGUGCGGGUAUCGAACAGGAUUAGAUACCCGGGUAGUC